rnacentral:lncRNA from 1 species
GUGUAUUCUGAGUUCUUUGAAGUUGCAGUGUGAUCCAACGUAUAAUUGCAUUCAGUUUAACAUAUCAUGUUGGCUUUUAUUAAUACCAGUUCUAGUUUUAGAGUAGCUCAGAUUUUUUAAAAUAUUCAUUGCUUUUUUCUGCUUCUGUCUCAGGCAUUGCCAUCUCUUCAAAACACAUAUCUGAAGUGUUUAGGCUUCUCACCUCAAUCCAAAACUGUGCAUUUGGUUCCAGUUUGAUGAGAAGAAACUGAAUUGCCAAUGAAAUGUUACCUUUACCCUAGUGGGGAGAUUGCUGACUGGACUCUGGGUGCUGGAGAAGUUUAAGGUCUGAGGACCCAGGUGUACAUGCGCAAAAAUAAUUCAAGAAUACAGACAAUGCAGACUGUUGGAGAGCCAAUCUGAAAUCAAUUAAAAGGAAUGAACAUUUAUUAAUAACAUGAGUGCAAGCAGAUGGAAAGGGAUCUGUACCGAACAAAUCUCCAAAAAUAGAAACAAUCUACUGGAGAAAGAGAAACAUGCCAUGUCCAAAAACCUGUUUCCAGCUUAAAGGUUAUCUUUUUUAUGGAGUGAGGAUUUUCACAUGACCCAUUUCUUCUUUUUUGCAAGACUAAGGUUUCUCCAGGCCUCCAGCCUGUUGCCUUCAGUGAGCAUCGCAGACUGGUUCCAGAGUUAUCUUCCUGAAAAUCAAAGUUGACCAUGUCGCUCCGU